AAAAAGACAAACCUUAGGGUUUCGUAUCCAACUUUGACUGUCCGUUUUAUAUGAAAAUUUGAUAAAACAUGAUUAAUAUUUUAUGCAUGACUUAUCUUUUUAAUUUUUUUCAUAAUUUUUUUAAAUAAGACGGACGGUUAUAUUGAAUAUAGAAACAUGGUUUGUCUUUUU
rfam:Oryza sativa (indica cultivar-group) chromosome 9, whole genome shotgun sequence.